rnacentral:tRNA from 1 species
GUGGCCAUAGUGUAAUGGUUAACACAGGAGUUUGUGGUACUCCUAAUGAGGGUUCAAUUCCCUCUGGCCACCCCA